rnacentral:tRNA from 1 species
GCCUGGCUGGCUCAGCCGGUGGAGCCUGCGACUCUUGAUCUCGGAGUUGUGAGUUCGAGUCCCAUGUUGGGUG